rnacentral:tRNA from 1 species
UUUAGUGGUAAAAUUAGCCUUCCAAGCUAACG